AUACGUAGGGGGCGAGCGUUGUCCAGAAUGAUUGGGCGUAAAGGGCGCGUAGGCGGCGCGGUAAGUCUGGAGUGAAAGUCCUGCUUUCAAGGUGGGAAUUGCUUUGGAUACUGCCGCGCUUGAGUGCAGGAGAGGUUAUCGGAAUUCUCGGUGUAGCGGUGAAAUGCGUAGAGAUCGGGAGGAACACCAGUGGCGAAGGCGGGUAACUGGACUGCAACUGACGCUGAGGCGCGAAAGUGUGGGGAGCAAACAGGAUUAGAUACCCUGGUAGUCCACACUGUAAACGAUGAAUGCUAGGUGUAAGAGGUAUCGACCCCUUUUGUGCCGGAGUCAACACAAUAAGCAUUCCGCCUGGGGAGUACGGCCGCAAGGUUGAAACUCAAAGGAAUUGACGGGG
rnacentral:rRNA from 1 species